rnacentral:rRNA from 1 species
AUUGAACGCUGGCGGCAGGCUUAACACAUGCAAGUCGAACGAGUGGCGGACGGGUGAGUAAUGCUUGGGAAUCUAGCUUGUGGAGGGGGAUAACUACUGGAAACGGUAGCUAAUACCGCAUACCAUAAUAUGAACCCAUAUGGGAUUAGCUUGUAGGUGAGGUAACGGCGCACCUCGGCGACGAUCCCUACCUGGUCUGAGAGGAUGACCAGCCACACUGGGACUGAGACACGGCCCAGACUCCUACGGGGUGCAGCAGUUGGGAAUCGUGCGCAAUGGGGGGAACCCUGACGCAGCCAUGCCGCGUGAAUGAAGAAGGCCUUCGGGUUGUAAAGUUAUUUCGGUAGCGAGGCGUUAACUACAGAAGAAGCACCGGCUAACUCCGUGCCAGCAGCCGCGGUAAUUC